GACAGAGGGUGCAAACGUUGUUCGGAAUUACUGGGCGUAAAGCGCGUGUAGGCGGUUCACCAAGUCCGCUCUGAAAGCCCAGGGCUCAACCUGGGAGGCGGGUGGAUACUGGUGGACUAGAGUCCGGAAGAGGAGAUUGGAAUUCCUGGUGUAGCGGUGAAAUGCGCAGAUAUCAGGAGGAACACCAACAGCGAAGGCAGAUCUCUGGGACGUGACUGACGCUGAGACGCGAAAGCGUGGGGAGCAAACAGG
rnacentral:rRNA from 1 species